UUACAUUAUUUUAUUGGCAUCCUUUUCUUGUACUUUUCUUGGUUUAAAAAAAUACAAACUGAGAAGAAAUGUUUUCUGAAAAUAAAUCUUCUAUCUGCAGGUACUACUGAGCGAGUGUGCUUGAUCCAGGGAACAGUUGAAGCACUGAAUGCAGUUCAUGGAUUCAUUGCAGAAAAAAUUCGAGAAAUGCCCCAAAAUGUGGCCAAGACAGAACCAGUCAGCAUUCUACAACCCCAGACCACCGUUAAUCCAGAUCGCAUCAAACAAACAUUGCCAUCUUCCCCAACUACCACCAAGUCCUCUCCAUCUGAUCCCAUGACCACCUCCAGAGCUAAUCAGAAGCAUAAUAUCUCCUGGAUAACAUGAAGCAAGAUUUAAAAGAAGAACAGAACAAAACCCUUAAUUCAUUGAAAGAUCUAUAGUUAUCAGUGAUCUUUGUUAUUAGUAGCUUCUAAUUAUAUAGUACUUCUCCAUAGAUUCUAGUCAUGUGAUAGGACAAAAGGAAAUUUAUUUUUGUUCAUUUG